UACGAAGGGGGCUAGCGUUGCUCGGAAUCACUGGGCGUAAAGCGCACGUAGGCGGAUUGCUAAGUCAGGGGUGAAAUCCUGGAGCUCAACUCCAGAACUGCCUUUGAUACUGAAGAUCUUGAGUUCGGGAGAGGUGAGUGGAACUGCGAGUGUAGAGGUGAAAUUCGUAGAUAUUGGGAAGAACACCGAUGGCGAAGGCAGCCAUCUGGACCGACACUGACGCUGAGGCGCGAAAGCGUGGGGGAGCAAACAGG
rnacentral:rRNA from 1 species